rnacentral:rRNA from 1 species
UCUUUUUCCACCGGAGCUUGCUCCACCGGAAAAAGAAGAGUGGCGAACGGGUGAGUAACACGUGGGUAACCUGCCCAUCAGAAGGGGAUAACACUUGGAAACAGGUGCUAAUACCGUAUAACAAUCGAAACCGCAUGGUUUUGAUUUGAAAGGCGCUUUCGGGUGUCGCUGAUGGAUGGACCCGCGGUGCAUUAGCUAGUUGGUGAGGUAACGGCUCACCAAGGCCACGAUGCAUAGCCGACCUGAGAGGGUGAUCGGCCACAUUGGGACUGAGACACGGCCCAAACUCCUACGGGAGGCAGCAGUAGGGAAUCUUCGGCAAUGGACGAAAGUCUGACCGAGCAACGCCGCGUGAGUGAAGAAGGUUUUCGGAUCGUAAAACUCUGUUGUUAGAGAAGAACAAGGAUGAGAGUAACUGUUCAUCCCUUGACGGUAUCUAACCAGAAAGCCACGGCUAACUACGUGCCAGCAGCCGCGGUAAUACGUAGGUGGCAAGCGUUGUCCGGAUUUAUUGGGCGUAAAGCGAGCGCAGGCGGUUUCUUAAGUCUGAUGUGAAAGCCCCCGGCUCAACCGGGGAGGGUCAUUGGAAACUGGGAGACUUGAGUGCAGAAGAGGAGAGUGGAAUUCCAUGUGUAGCGGUGAAAUGCGUAGAUGUAUGGAGGAACACCAGUGGCGAAGGCGGCUCUCUGGUCUGUAACUGACGCUGAGGCUCGAAAGCGUGGGGAGCAAACAGGAUUAGAUACCCUGGUAGUCCACGCCGUAAACGAUGAGUGCUAAGUGUUGGAGGGUUUCCGCCCUUCAGUGCUGCAGCUAACGCAUUAAGCACUCCGCCUGGGG